GAUGAACGCUGGCGGCGUGCCUAAUACAUGCAAGUCGAGCGAACAGAUGAGGAGCUUGCUCCUCUGACGUUAGCGGCGGACGGGUGAGUAACACGUGGAUAACCUACCUAUAAGACUGGGAUAACUUCGGGAAACCGGAGCUAAUACCGGAUAAUAUAUUGAACCGCAUGGUUCAAUAGUGAAAGACGGUUUUGCUGUCACUUAUAGAUGUAUCCGCGCCGCAUUAGCUAGUUGGUAAGGUAACGGCUUACCAAGGCAACGAUGCGUAGCCGACCUGAGAGGGUGAUCGGCCACACUGGAACUGAGACACGGUCCAGACUCCUACGGGAGGCAGCAGUAGGGAAUCUUCCGCAAUGGGCGAAAGCCUGACGGAGCAACGCCGCGUGAGUGAUGAAGGUCUUCGGAUCGUAAAACUCUGUUAUUAGGGAAGAACAAAUGUGUAAGUAACUAUGCACGUCUUGACGGUACCUAAUCAGAAAGCAACGGCUAACUACGUG
rnacentral:rRNA from 1 species